UACAGAGGGUGCAAGCGUUAAUCGGAUUACUGGGCGUAAAGCGUGCGUAGGCGGUUCAUUAAGUCGGUUGUGAAAUCCCUGGGCUUAACCUGGGAACUGCAGUCGAUACUGGUGGACUAGAGUGCGGUAGAGGGUGGCGGAACUCCGGGUGUAGCGGUGAAAUGCGUAGAUAUCCGGAAGAACACCGAUGGCGAAGGCAACCACCUGGGCCUGCACUGACGCUGAGGUACGAAAGCGUGGGGAGCAAACAGG
rnacentral:rRNA from 1 species